AACGAACGCUGGCGGCAUGCCUAACACAUGCAAGUCGAACGAGACCUUCAGGUCUAGUGGCGAAUGGGUGCGUAACGCGUGGGAACCUGCCCUUAGGUUCGGACUAACCCCCCGAAAGGGGUUCUAAUACCGGAUAAUGUCUUCGGACCAAAGAUUUAUCGCCUAUGGAUGGGCCCGCGUUGGAUUAGCUAGUUGGUAGGGUAAAAGCCUACCAAGGCGACGAUCCAUAGCUGGUCUGAGAGGAUGAUCAGCCACACUGGGACUGAGACACGGCCCAGACUCCUACGGGAGGCAGCAGUGGGGAAUAUUGGACAAUGGGCGAAAGCCUGAUCCAGCAAUGCCGCGUGAGUGAUGAAGGCCUUAGGGUUGUAAAGCUCUUUUACCCAGGAUGAUAAUGACAGUACCGGGAGAAUAAGCUCCGGCUAACUCCGUG
rnacentral:rRNA from 1 species